rnacentral:lncRNA from 1 species
CUGUGAGUGAGUAUAUAGUAUUGUCUCCUGUCCUUCGGCAUAUGUGUGUGUUUGUAUGUGUUGCUGACGCUUCAUGCUUUGAAAGAGGCACUUGCAUUCUUCCGCUAUGUCUGUCACAUACUCAGAGAAUGUUGCCCCAGACUCUGGUGACGCCCCAUCUAAGAAUUCGGUUGUGGUGACACCGAAAGAGGCUAAAGUGGCAUCCAAAGACACAGAGGCCAGAGUGAAAAUCACAGAACCAGAGGCGGCCGUGCCCAUACCUGCUGCUGAAGCCCCUCAGCCACAAACUGUAGUAAUUGUGGUGACUGAACUAGAACCUGUAGAGGGUGAGGUCACAGACCCACAGCCUUUAGAAAACGGGCACAGUGAACCAGAGCCAACACAGGCUGAGAAGCGGGUCGAGGUAAAAGAAGAGCAGCCCGGCACUUCAAAAGUUCCUGCACCUUCAAUGAAGAAGUCUGCUGAGACAAAAGCUACCCCUAAAAAAGGUAUUGUUUGA